CCAGAUGAAGGCGAAAUAAAGUGGGAAUAUUUUGUUCAUCUUUUCAACAUUGAUAUCAGUCAACCUGGUAACGCUCGAGUAUGUCCGGAGACUUCGAGAGGACAUGUUGAACUACAUAACACUGGAGAGAUGUGCGUUCGGUAUGCGGCAUAGCAUUGCAGAUUUUUAGCAACUCCGUUGUAGCAGCACUGUUGUUUUACUUGAGCCAAAAAUAUAACGAGUUUGAAGUUUGUGAAGCAACCGCUAAAUUCUGCAAAAGAAUCAGUAAACUUUUUGAUGCAUUGAACCGAGAGCAACCUAAUGAGGGUCUGAAUUAAGGAUCAAGAAAACCUUGAGUGGCUUAACAACGGAGAGGAAAACUUAAAAAAUGGCACUAUUAGAAAGGACGAAUUGCUCGCCCCUCAAACCGCAAGCCGCCUACGAAUCACAAUUACGUGAACCUUAGAAAUGUGCGAGUAUUUGAUUGACACACAAAACUU